GUUGGUGAACCAGCGGAGGGAUCAUUACAGAGUUGCAAAACUCCCUAAACCAUCGCGAACGUACCUUUAUCGUUGCUUCGGCGGAGCCCUCACGGGCGCCCGCCGGCGGCACUACAAACUCUUUUUUUAUUAUAGGCAUCUCUGAGUAUUUAUACAAAUAAGUUAAAACUUUCAACAACGGAUCUCUUGGUUCUG
rnacentral:misc_RNA from 1 species